rnacentral:rRNA from 1 species
UACGAGGGGUGCAAGCGUUAAUCGGAAUUACUGGGCGUAAAGCGUGCGUAGGUGGUUUGUUAAGCAAGAUGUGAAAGCCCUGGGCUCAACCUGGGAACUGCAUUUUGAACUGGCAAGCUAGAGUUUUGUAGAGGGUAGUGGAAUUUCCGAGUGUACGGUGAAAUGCGUAGAGAUUGGAAGGAACAUCAGUGGCGAAGGCGGCUACCUGGACAAAGACUGACACUGAGGCACGAAAGCGUGGGGAGCAAAC